GAUGAACGCUGGCGGCGUGCCUUAUACAUGCAAGUCGAGCGAACGGACGAGUAGCUUGCUUUUCUGAUGUUUGCGGCGGACGGGUGAGUUACACGUGGAUAACCUACCUAUAAGACUGUGAUAACUUCGGGAAACCGGUGCUAAUACCUGCUAAUAUUUUGAACCGCAUGGUUCAAUAGUGAAAGACGGUCUUGCUGUCACUUAUAGAUUGAUUCGCGCUGCAUUAGCUAGUUGGUAAGGUAACGGCUUACCAAGGCAACGAUGAGUAGCCGACCUGAGAGGAUGAUCGGCCACACUGGGACUGAGACACGGUCCAGACUCCUACGGGAGGCAGCAGUAGGGAAUCUUCGGCAAUGGGCGAAAGCCUGACGGAGCAACGCCGCGUGAGUGAUGAAGGUCUUCGGAUCGUAAAGCACUGUUAUUAGGGAAGAAAAUAUGUGUAAGAAACUGGGCGGAGCAUGACGGUACCGAAAGAGAAAGCAACGGCUAACUACGUG
rnacentral:rRNA from 1 species